UGUUGGAAAGAAAGUGGAAAAGGCUUCGAAGGCGAGGAAGGGUACUACUCCGGCAACAUCAUGGUGUUGGGAUGUGGCAAAGCUGAUCUGAUUUCGAGGAUGUCGAAGCAGCACAAGCCCGUUCCCAUGGACGUGUUUGAACAAUCAAGCGAGAGAUAUCGCCACAAGCAGAAGCGAGCCCUCAAGAUUCCAUGGAGGCCUCCAUAAUUGAGGAACUAAGAAAAGUAG
rnacentral:lncRNA from 1 species